UGUAAAAAGAAAGAACAACACACUAGACAGAACUAAACUUUGAUUUAGAUCUGUGAAGCGAAGAGACAAAAAUAGUUAAACAUUCUUUCAAUCAAGGAACUUUUCUUCUAAUCUGUAAACUAGGCGCUAGAGUGAGACACAAAAUGAAGAUUUCUGUGUUAGGAUUGUUAGGUAUUCUUGUUGUCUCGACGUCUGCUAUCAGCUUACUUCCGGACAUCAUGCUUGGUACCUGCGUGGAGAGAUGUAGCAAUGACUUAGUCAUCAGGGCUGUCACUGGACUCGGAGGUUGCCCAGACGGGUACACGUGUAGGUCAAAUGGAUGUGGUCACACUUGUCAACCUGACCUACUUAUUGGUCAAAAAAGAUGUUCAACAGAUUGUCCGAUUGGCUGCAAUUUAUUCUUUACUACUUCAUCUUGUGGAACAUGUAUUUGCGGGGAUCUCAUCUCAUCUCUUAUUGGUUAGUUGUUUCUACCAAUGUCAAACUAAGAGACAAUAAAAAUCAUUUUAAACUCUUA